CUACGGGUGGCUCCAGUGAGGAAUAUUGCACAAUGGGGGGAACCCUGAUGCAGCAACGCCGCGUGGAGGAUGACGCAUUUCGGUGUGUAAACUCCUUUUAUAUGUCAAGAAAAUGACGGUAGCAUAUGAAUAAGCACCGGCUAACUCCGUGCCAGCAGCCGCGGUAAUACGGAGGGUGCAAGCGUUACUCGGAAUCACUGGGCGUAAAGGACGCGUAGGCGGGUUGGAAAGUCAGGUGUGAAAUCCUACAGCUUGACUGUAGAACUGCACUUGAAACUUCUAAUCUAGGGUAUGGGAGGGGGAGAUGGAAUUAGUGGUGUAGGGGUAAUAUCCGUAGAUAUCACUAGGAAUACCUAAAGCGAAGGCGAUCUCCUGGAACAUUACUGACGCUAAGGCGUGAAAGCGUGGGGAGCAAACAGGAUUAGAUACCCGUGUAGUC
rnacentral:rRNA from 1 species